GACGAACGCUGGCGGCGUGCUUAACACAUGCAAGUCGAGCGGUAAGGCCCUUUCGGGGGUACACGAGCGGCGAACGGGUGAGUAACACGUGGGUGACCUGCCCUCAGCUCUGGGAUAAGCCUGGGAAACUGGGUCUAAUACUGGAUAUGACUCCACGGUGCAUGUCGUGGGGUGGAAAGCCUUGUGCGGCUGAGGAUGGGCCCGCGGCCUAUCAGCUUGUUGGUGGGGUGANGGCCUACCAAGGCGACGACGGGUAGCCGGCCUGAGAGGGCGACCGGCCACACUGGGACUGAGACACGGCCCAGACUCCUACGGGAGGCAGCAGUGGGGAAUCUUGGACAAUGGGCNCAAGCCUGAUCCAGCCAUGCCGCGUGAGUGAAGAAGGCC
rnacentral:rRNA from 1 species